GAUGAACGCUAGCGGCAGGCCUAACACAUGCAAGUCGAGGGAGAAGCCCUUCGGGGCAGAAACCGGCGCACGGGUGCGUAACGGUAUGCAACCUACCUUUCACAGGGGGAUAGCCCGAAGAAAUUUGGAUAAUACCCCAUAAUAUUAUUGGAUGGCAUCAUUUGAUAAUUAAAAUUACGAUGGUGAAAGAUGGGCAUGCGUCCUAUUAGCUAGUGGAGUGGUAACGGCACCCCAAGGCUACGAUAGGUAGGGGUCCUGAGAGGGAGAUCCCCCACACUGGUACUGAGACAGGGACCAGACUCCUACGGGAGGCAGCAGUGAGGAAUAUUGGUCAAUGGUCGGAAGACUGAACCAGCCAUGCCGCGUGCAGGAAGAAUGCCUUAUGGGUUGUAAACUGCUUU
rnacentral:rRNA from 1 species